rnacentral:rRNA from 1 species
CCUACGGGAGGCAGCAGUGAGGAAUAUUGGUCAAUGGACGAGAGUCUGAACCAGCCAAGUAGCGUGAAGGAUGACUGCCCUAUGGGUUGUAAACUUCUUUUAUAUGGGAAUAAAAUGUUCCACGUGUGGGAUUUUGUAUGUACCAUAUGAAUAAGGAUCGGCUAACUCCGUGCCAGCAGCCGCGGUAAUACGGAGGAUCCGAGCGUUAUCCGGAUUUAUUGGGUUUAAAGGGAGCGUAGGUGGAUUGUUAAGUCAGUUGUGAAAGUUUUCGGCUCAACCGUAAAAUUGCAGUUGAAACUGGCAGUCUUGAGUACAGUAGAGGUGGGCGGAAUUCGUGGUGUAGCGGUGAAAUGCUUAGAUAUAACGAAGAACUCCGAUUGCGAAGGCAGUUCACUGGACUGCAACUGACACUGAGGCUCGAAAGUGUGGGUAUCAAACAGGAUUAGAUACCCCUGUAGUC